rnacentral:rRNA from 1 species
AUUGAACGCUGGCGGCAGGCCUAACACAUGCAAGUCGCACGAGUGGCGGACGGAUGAGUAAUGUCUGGGCCACUGCCCGAUGGAGGGGGAUAACUACUGGAAACGGUAUCUAAUACCGCCUACCAUCGGAUGUGCCCAGCUGGGAGUAGCUAGUAGUUGGGGUAAUGGCUCACCUAGGCGACGAUACCUAGCUGGUCUGAGAGGAUGACCAGCCAAACUGGCACUUAGAAAAGGUCCAGACUCCUACUGGAGGCAGCAGUGGGGAAUAUUGCACAAUGGGCGAAAGCCUGAUGCAGCCAUGCCGCGUGUAUGAAGAAGGCCUUCGGGUUGUAAAGUACUUUCAGCUGGGAGGCGUUACCCGCAGAAGAAGCACCGGCUAAAUCCGGGCCAGCAGGCGCGGUAAUUC